GGUACCGUCAUCCCAACCAGGGUAUUAACCAGCUGGAUUUCUUUCCCAACAAAAGGGCUUUACAACCCGAAGGCCUUCUUCACCCACGCGGUAUGGCUGGAUCAGGCUUGCGCCCAUUGUCCAAUAUUCCCCACUGCUGCCUCCCGUAGGAGUCUGGACCGUGUCUCAGUUCCAGUGUGGCUGAUCAUCCUCUCAGACCAGCUACGGAUCGUCGCC
rnacentral:rRNA from 1 species